rnacentral:rRNA from 1 species
UUUGACGUUAGCGGCGGACGGGUGAGUAACACGUGGGUAACCUACCUAUAAGACUGGGAUAACUUCGGGAAACCGGAGCUAAUACCGGAUAACAUUUGGAACCGCAUGGUUCUAAAGUGAAAGAUGGUUUUGCUAUCACUUAUAGAUGGACCCGCGCCGUAUUAGCUAGUUGGUAAGGUAACGGCUUACCAAGGCGACGAUACGUAGCCGACCUGAGAGGGUGAUCGGCCACACUGGAACUGAGACACGGUCCAGACUCCUACGGGAGGCAGCAGUAGGGAAUCUUCCGCAAUGGGCGAAAGCCUGACGGAGCAACGCCGCGUGAGUGAUGAAGGGUUUCGGCUCGUAAAACUCUGUUAUUAGGGAAGAACAAACGUGUAAGUAACUGUGCACGUCUUGACGGUACCUAAUCAGAAAGCCACGGCUAACUACGUGCCA